AUUGAACGCUGGCGGCAGGCCUAACACAUGCAAGUCGAACGAGUGGCGGACGGGUGAGUAAUGUCUGUGAAACUGCCUGAUGGAGGGGGAUAACUACUGGAAACGGUAGCUAAUACCGCAUACCAUCGGAUGUUCCCAGAUGGGAUUAGCUAGUUGGUGGGGUAAGGGCUCACCCAGGCGACGAUCCCUAGCUGGUCUGAGAGGAUGACCAGCCACACUGGAACUGAGACACGGUCCAGACUCCUACGGAGGGCAGCAGUGGGGAAUAUUGCGCAAUGGGCGCAAGCCUGAUGCAGCCAUGCCGCGUGUAUGAAGAAGGCCUUCGGGUUGUAAGGUUCUGUCAGCGAGGAGGCGUUAGCCGCAGAAGAAGCACCGGCUAACUCCGUGCCAGCCGCCGCGGUAAUUC
rnacentral:rRNA from 1 species